GAUGAACGCUGGCGGCGUGCCUAAUACAUGCAAGUCGAGCGAAUGGAUUAAGAGCUUGCUCUUAUGAAGUUAGCGGCGGACGGGUGAGUAACACGUGGGUAACCUGCCCAUAAGACUGGGAUAACUCCGGGAAACCGGGGCUAAUACCGGAUAACAUUUUGAACCGCAUGGUUCGUAAUUGAAAGGCGGCUUCGGCUGUCACUUACGGAUGGACCCGCUUCGCAUUAGCUGGUUGGUGAGGUAACGGCUCAACAAGGCAACGAUGCGUAGCCGACCUGAGAGGGUGAUCGGCCACACUGGGACUGAGACACGGCCCAGACUCCUACGGGAGGCAGCAGUAGGGAAUCUUCCGCAAUGGACGAAAGUCUGACGGAGCAACGCCGCGUGAGUGAUGAAGGCUUUCGGGUCGUAAAACUCUGUUGUUAGGGAAGAACAAGUGCUAGUUGAAUAAGCUGGCACCUUGACGGUACCUAACCAGAAAGCCACGGCUAACUACGUGCCAGCCGCCGCCGUAA
rnacentral:rRNA from 1 species